AGAGUUUGAUCAUGGCUCAGAUUGAACGCUGGCGGCAGGCCUAACACAUGCAAGUCGAGCGGCAGCACAGGGGAACUUGUUCCCUGGGUGGCGAGCGGCGGACGGGUGAGUAAUGGCUGGGAACCUGCCCUGAUGUGGGGGAUAACAGUUGGAAACGACUGCUAAUACCGCAUGAUGUCUACGGACCAAAGAGGAGGACCUUCGGGCUUCUCGCGUCAGGAUGGGCCCAGUUGGGAUUAGCUAGUUGGUAGGGUAAUGGCCUACCAAGGCGACGAUCCCUAGCUGGUUUGAGAGGAUGAUCAGCCACACUGGAACUGAGACACGGUCCAGACUCCUACGGGAGGCAGCAGUGGGGAAUAUUGCACAAUGGGCGCAAGCCUGAUGCAGCCAUGCCGCGUGUGUGAAGAAGGCCUUCGGGUUGUAAAGCACUUUCAGCAGUGGGGAAGGUUACGUAGUUAAUACCUGCGUGAUUUGACGUUAGUUGCAGAAGAAGCACCGGCUAACUCCGUGCCAGCAGCCGCGGUAAUACGGAGGGUGCGAGCGUUAAUCGGAAUUACUGGGCGUAAAGCGCAUGCAGGCGGUCUGUUAAGCAAGAUGUGAAAGCCCCGGGCUUAACCUGGGAACCGCAUUUUGAACUGGCAGGCUAGAGUCUUGUAGA
rnacentral:rRNA from 1 species